rnacentral:rRNA from 1 species
UACGAAGGGGGCUAGCGUUGUUCGGAUUUACUGGGCGUAAAGCGUGCGCAGGCGGUUUUGUAAGUCUGUCGUGAAAUCCCCGGGCUCAACCUGGGAAUUGCGAUGGAGACUGCAAGGCUAGAAUCUGGCAGAGGGGGGUAGAAUUCCACGUGUAGCAGUGAAAUGCGUAGAUAUCCGGAGGAAUACCAAAGGCGAAGGCAGUGUCCUGGAGGGUGACUGACGCUGAGGCGCGAAAGCUAGGGGAGCGAACAGG